GGAAUGAUGGUGACCUAAACCCUCACCAGAGUAACAAUUGGAGGGCAAGUCUGGUGCCAGCAGCCGCGGUAAUUCCAGCUCCAAUAGCGUAUAUUAAACUUGUUGCAGUUAAAAAGCUCGUAGUUGAAUUUCUGCGUUAUCGAGUUAUUGACUCUUGUCUUUAAUCGAUUUCGCUUUUGGGAUUUAUCCCUUUUUACUUUGAGAAAAUUAGAGUGUUUCAAGCAGACUUUUGUCUUGAAUACUUCAGCAUGGAAUAAUAGAGUAGGACUUUGGUUCUAUUUUGUUGGUUUUUGAACCUUAGUAAUGGUUAAUAGGAACGGUUGGGGGCAUUCGUAUUUAACUGUCAGAGGUGAAAUUCUUAGAUUUGUUAAAGACGAACUACUGCGAAAGCAUUUGCCAAGGACGUUUCCAUUAAUCAAGAACG
rnacentral:rRNA from 1 species